UAUUUACAGGGAAUCCCCCCAAACUGGAAUCCACCCUGGUGCCUCUCAGCGGGAGAACCGAGGUCCACGACACCACCCAGCCACCAACAUCCGAACACACGUGUGCGAGGCUCAGCGUGAGAAGCCGGACUCCAGUGGCCACUGCCGCACGAGAGGCCCGGGAUGCCUCGCACAGGGCGUUCCUGAGAACUCCAGGGACAGAAAACUGGUUGGCGGCUACAGGCGUGGGAGGAGAAAUUGAUAAAGGAGCUGGGGGGAGUUCUGAGAGGGGUGGAACCAUUGGCGUCCUGAUUGGGGCGGUGGGUUCAUGACGGUAAGUAUGUGUUGGUCACAGUCAGAAGGUGAAUUUCACUGCACGUAAAGUACUUAAGGCAGAGACAACAGGGUGUGCAACGGCCCUGAGGCUUGGAUCAGGUUGGAGGAAGUGGCCGGGGCUGAGGUAGUCUUGAAGGCCACGUCCACUGCCUUGCACCGUGGGAAAGUGCUGGGUGUCUUAAGCACUGAGGAAUAUCAGCAGAUUUUUGUUUCGGAAAGAUUGCGUGUUCCGUUUCCAGGCAGAAGCCACUGGACACAUGGCCUGACCCUGCCUCUGAAAUGUUCUCAUCUGCCCUGCCCCCAUCCUUUUUAAAGAAUCGGAACUUGGGGCUGAUACUUAAAAAAUAGGUUUUGCAGAGAAUCCAGAUCCCUGGCUUCUCCCUAGGGACACACACUCCGGGUCGCCCCAGCCCGCUCCCGCUCCCUCCUUCCUGCCCUGAGCUGGGUUGGGGUUUUGACCCCAGGGGUUGAAAAUGGAUGAUAGGAGGGAAGGGGCCAAGGACAGUGGCACUUCCCAGUCCUGGCUGAACACUGUCAUCACCUGGUGCUACAGCUUGGGUACCAAAUGUCCCCCGAAAGGCCCCGUGUUGGACCUUGGUCACCAGCCUGUGCUGUUAUAGGACCCCCUAGGAGGCGGGGCCUAGUGGGAGGAAGUGAUGUAAUGGGGGCGUGGCCUGAGGGGGAUAAUGAGACCACACCCUUUCCUGUCUCUCCAGCCUCCAAGAGGUGAACGGUCCUCCUUCGCCAUGUGCUCCCACCAUGAUGGACUCUGCCACCAUUGGCCCAAAGCCACAGGACCAGGUGACCAUGGACUAAACUCUGAAACUGUGAUCCAAGAAACCUUUCCUCUUUAAAAGCUAAUCAUCUUGGGCAUUUUGUCACAGUAACACAAGGCUGACUAAUGCUUCCUAGGGAACUUUUAAAACUGUGAUGCCCAGGGCAAGCUGUUGGGGGCAGCCUGGGCAGCUGUCAUUUUAAAUGCUCCCCCAGGGGCUCUACUGUGCACCCAGGGGUGGGGCCCACUGGUCCAGGGGCAGAUGAAGGCAUGGGCUCAGUGGUGGCAGGAGAGGCACGGAGAGACAGCUGGGACCCAGGGCUGCGCGAGGAGGAGGAUUCGAGUGUGCUGUGUGGAUUCUGCUGGGACAACUGGGUUGCAAUGAAGGGACAUGGGAGGAGUCAGGGGAAGGCACUGAGGAGCCUGUGGCCUCCAGAGCAGGGCCCGGUGUGGCUGGGGUCUGAAGUGGGGCUAGCCGCGCCCUCUCUGUGGUUCUAUGGUGACCGUGACCCGAGCCCACUGCAACCCUGGGCGCACACACAGAGACCCACGCACCUGUGACCUCUCCAGACACCGUUUAUUGUCUUGGUGUCCCCUCAGCUUUCUUUCUGGUACCCAGUGGGUGUCUUCAGGACCGUCUCCGGUGAGGUCAGCCCAGGGAGGGGCCCUUGGUCCCGAGGAGGGGAGGGCAGAGGCCCAGAGCUUCCUGCCUCAGCCGUCCCUGGCUGGGCUGGCCUCUGUCACCAUUAAGUGAUGAUCGUGGCAUGGUCCUGCCGUAGGAAGCACUGUGUCACCUGGGAACACAGGACGGCCCCUCAUCUCUGCCUGGGAGAAGCGCGUGGAGACGCGGUGGGGCAUGAGGAGUCCUGGUUCCUGGGCGGUUUCUGGGCUGACGUCACCCAGACACAGCGCUUGGGAAGGAGCCAGAGCUCCCGCGAAUGGCGCUCUUCCAGGAUGGGGUUCCCUUGACACGGCCUCUCCAGGGUCCUUUCUAGAUCCCGCUCUCUCUGGGCGGGUGGUGCUCGUGGCUGCUCCUCGAGGCCCUUCCCCUGUGAUGUCACUGUGAGCUGAGUGCCAGGGGGCGCUGAGAGUCCCCGAGGUGUCCCUGUGCACCGUGGCCCUGCUGGGUGCUCCUGUGAGCAGUGCCUGCCUCAGACAGCGUGAGUGACAGGUCUGGUAGGGACUGAGAUUGCAGACGACCAGGUGCUCUGCCGGGGACAGUCCCGCGUGGUCACCGCCUUUCCCUCUGAGCUCACCACGGCUGGUGCUGGUUGCGGAUGGCGCUCACCCUUUAGGGUGGUUUCCUUAUGGAAGGUUCUAACCUCAGAUGGCCUUAGCAUAGCUGCCACUGUCACUAGACUAGUGGUGAGCGGGGAGGCGGUCCCCAGGCCUUGGUGCUCACUGUGGAAGGAUUGGCUCUUCAGCGGGCGGGGAGGGCGUCUGCUGCCCACCUGGGUGUGGAGCCUCUGCUCAAUGGCACCGGGUCGGGGUGCCCCUGGCUGAGGCUCACUGUACUGGAUCUGAUUCCCACGGGUGCUCUUGACCCCGCCGUCCCUGCACCCGUGGACCCGGCCACAGCUCUUCUUACCAACAAUAGUCCUCGGGGUAGCUGCCGUCCCUGAUGCCCAACUCUCAGUAAAGAUGGAGUUCAGCCGCCCUGCCCUGCGUCACAGGACCUGCCUGCUGAUGGCUGCUGCUACCUAGGGGACGACUGGUCAGGUGUCACCUCCCUGGGUGAAGUCUGGGAGUGCUGGGCCCCGUGGGUGGAGAUCUGAGGGGACCUGGGGCUGGGGACCGGCCUCACAGGGGCACGUUCACCCGGGCAGGCUGCUCCGCUGGGGCCACCUGGCUGUUGCUUUCCGACUUGUCCCCCGUCUUGUCCUCCUGCAGGUGGGUGCUGCUGCUGGGGGUGUUCUGCCCGCUGCCGCUCCCGGGCAGGUUCUGGCUGCUGCUGGUCUGGCUGGAGGGCUGGCUGCCCCGGGGGUCCAGCAGCCCGCUGCUCACCUGGUAGGUCAGGAAGCUGCUGCCCGGGCUCAGGAAGCCGACGCUGCCCAGGCUGCUGAGGCUGGUGCCCCCAGGCUGCCCUCACUUUUCCCCUCCAGCCUGCCUGGUGCCGUGGCCGUGGCCGCUCAGCCGGCUGUUCACUGGGCUGGGCGCGUGUGUGGUGCCCGCCUGGGAGUGGGGCCUUUUGCUCAACAGGGCCACCCGGUUGCCAGCUGCCAAUCUCACGUCGCUGUCCUCGGUGUCCCCGGUGUACCCGCUGCUCAGCAGGCUGACGUUACUGCACUCGUCCUGCUGGGGCCGGG
rnacentral:lncRNA from 1 species